rnacentral:rRNA from 1 species
AAGUCUGGUGCCAGCAGCCGCGGUAAUUCCAGCUCCAAUAGCGUAUAUUAAAGUUGUUGCAGUUAAAAAGCUCGUAGUUGAAUUUCGGGGUUAGUAGGUUGGUCAUGCCUCUGGUAUGUACUGGUCUCACUGAUUCCUCCUUCCUGAUGAACCGUAAUGCCAUUAAUUUGGCGUUGCGGGGAAUUUGGACUGUUACUUUGAAAAAAUUAGAGUGUUUAAAGCAAGCUAACGCUUGAAUACAUUAGCAUGGAAUAAUGAAAUAGGACGUUCGAUCCUAUUUUGUUGGUUUCUAGGAUUGACGUAAUGAUUAAUAGGGAUAGUUGGGGGCAUUAGUAUUCAAUUGUCAGAGGUGAAAUUCUUGGAUUUAUUGAAGACUAACUACUGCGAAAGCAUUUGCCAAGGAUGUUUUCAUUAAUCAAGAACGAAAGUUAGGGGAUCGAAGACGAUCAGAUACCGUCGUAGUCUUAACCAUAAACUAUGCCGACUAGGGAUCGGAUGAUGUUAAUUUUUUAAUGACUCAUUCGGCGCCUUACGGGAAACCAAAGUGUUUGGGU